rnacentral:rRNA from 1 species
UGCUAGUAACGGCGAGUGAAGCGGCAACAGCUCAAAUUUGAAAGCUAGCCUUCGGGUUCGCAUUGUAAUUUGUAGAGGAUGAUUUGGGGAAGCCGCCUGUCUAAGUUCCUUGGAACAGGACGUCAUAGAGGGUGAGAAUCCCGUAUGUGACAGGAAAUGGCACCCUAUGUAAAUCUCCUUCGACGAGUCGAGUUGUUUGGGAAUGCAGCUCUAAAUGGGAGGUAAAUUUCUUCUAAAGCUAAAUAUUGGCGAGAGACCGAUAGCGCACAAGUAGAGUGAUCGAAAGAUGAAAAGCACUUUGGAAAGAGAGUUAAAAAGCACGUGAAAUUGUUGAAAGGGAAGCGCUUGCAAUCAGACUUGUUUAAACUGUUCGGCCGGUCUUCUGACCGGUUUACUCAGUUUGGACAGGCCAGCAUCAGUUUCGGCGGCCGGAUAAAGGCUCUGGGAAUGUGGCCUCCACUUCGGUGGAGGUGUUAUAGCCCAGGGUGUAAUACGGCCAGCCGGGACUGAGGUCCGCGCUUCGGCUAGGAUGCUGGCGUAAUGGUUGUAAGCGACCCGUCUUGAAACACGGACC